AGAGCAGGGAGGUGCUAUCUGGGAGAAGCCGCCCCUGCUAUCCGCAGCCUUUCCUGCGAGAGCCCUGGCACGCAAGUGAAAGUGAAAGGGGGAACUGGAUCAUUCAGGAAGCGCGACGCCUCCUAGGCCUCUUCGCAGCUGGGAUGGAGCCUGCAGGGGCACAGAGGGAAGAAGCAGGGGGCAUUUCGCCUCGGUCUAUGUCAGGAGCCGCUGGGGACCUGCUCGGGGAACAAGGGGAGAGAGCGCCGCUAACAAGCACAACACCCCCGGGAACCCCGAAAGAUCGCAGCUCGCCCUGCACUCAGCGGGCACCCGGCAGUGAGCCCCAAGUUCGCAGCGCGUCGGGAGACCGGAGUCCCGUGUGUGAUCCUGUAACGGGGAGCCCUUCGUUACCGUCUAAUGCAACUUUCUGGACACGGACGCUGUCGGGAUGCCGGGAAUUCUUCAGUCGAGUGAAGGAAGCUGUGUCCAGGCUUUUCUCACGCCAGAAUCGCAUCGCUGGAACUGUUUCCGUUGCUGUUGUGAUUUUGAUAUUGGUCCUGGUAAUUUUCCUGAUUGUAUGGCAUUUCUCCUAUAAAGAACCUCCCAUUACCCUGGCCUCUGACCCAUGCCCUGAGGACUGGCUGUACUUCAAAAGGAAAUGUUAUUACCUCUCAGAGAAGGAGGAGGACUGGGAUUCCAGUCAGAGCUUCUGUUCCCUUUAUGAAGCUUCACUUGCUGUGAUUGAAAACCACCAAGAAAUGCAUUUCCUCACUAAGCGUAUGCACAUGCAAGACUCCUGGAUUGGACUGCGCAAGCGAGAAGAAGGCUUCUACUGGGUCAAUGGCAUUCCACUUACAACGGACAUGUGUACAUGCUCUGCAUGCACCGUUGCUGGAAGAUUUUUCCUUUAAGUGGUAUCCAGUGGGUCAGUUCCGGCGCCACUGGAGUUGCGCCCUCAUGGCGCUGUGUAUAGGAGCCUGCAGACCUGCCAUCCCCUCAGUUCCUGCUUUCUGCUUGUGAUGCUUGCUGGAACUGCUCCUUCUUGCUCUGCAGGUUUCACAUUCAGGAUCAUGAAGAAUGUGCUUACACAGAUUCAUCUAGUAUCUCUACAUCAGCAUGUUCUUUACCCAGGCACUGGAUCUGCAGCCGCCAUCCCUUCAAGUGAACAGUGCAAGGGGAUCUUUAACAACCAAAAGUGGGCCAGAGUUGUACCAUCACUUCAAAAAAGUGGCACUUCUAGCCCCACAGCACCAGGGGUGAAAGUAACAUAAAACUCUUACCAGUAUGGGGGCCCGGCUCCAGGCCCCUGGAAGGGGCAGGGCUUCAGGUGCAAGGGGCGGGGCUAGGGGGGUCAGCCUUCCCCAGCCAGCCCUUCCAUGCUGCCCGGCCCACACCACCCAGGACUCCGGCAGCAGUUUAAAGGGCCUGGGGCUCUGGCCACUUCUGCAGCAGUGGCAGCAGCCGGGAGCCCCGGGCCCUUUUAAAUCACCGGGCCCCGGGGCAGCUGCCCCUUUUGCCCCCCAGUCAGCAGCCCUAGGGGGGGGCAAAAUGGAUAGUACUGUCCCACUUUCACUUCUGCACAGCACGCUCUAACAUCUACUGACUCGCAAACACUACUCCCUGCAACACCCCAUCCCUUCAUGUUAUACUGGGGCUUUGGUGUUAACACUGACUCACAAGAAAAGUUCCCACCACUGAGUUGCUCAUACCAUUCCUUGAAGCACAGCACCACCUAGAUCCAUAAUAUGAUCAGGAAUGAUUCAGAGAGAAGAGUAGCCCUUACUGAGUUACAAACAAUUUCCUGCUGCACCUGGGUUUUUCUUGUAGCUCUUCCAUCAACAUACUAACCAGACCAGUUUCUCCGAAGCUUCUGUAAGCUCCGAUAAGUUCAUUAACUGAGACAGCAUUGUAAGCAGGAACUCGGAAACAAGAAAAUGCUAUAGUUCCUCUCACUUUGAAGGUGGUAUGGGCUAAUGCUACCAGGAAUGCUACCAGAAAUCACUCAGAGGAUGUAAUCUAAACAGACAACUCACAAUGUGUGCUGUGGGAGAUACCAAGAAAGUGGUUUUUGACCUGGUGAGAGUUGAGCUUUGUAUCAUUUAUUAAUAUUUAACUUUUUUAAAAAAAAUCUUUGUUUUUAAAGAAAUCUUUGUUACUAAGCUUUCAAGAUACAGCAGCUUGGUCCUGCUUUGAGUAGAGGGUUGGACUAGAUGACCUCCUGAGGUCCCUUCCAACCCUGAUAUUCUAUGACUCUAUGAAUGGUGCUGUUGUGCUGGAAGAUGUUAAUGGCUGAAAUCAAUCACAAACCUAGUUAA